GACGAACGCUGGCGGCGUGCUUAACACAUGCAAGUCGAACGGAAAGGCCCUGCUUUUGUGGGGUGCUCGAGUGGCGAACGGGUGAGUAACACGUGAGUAACCUGCCCUUGACUUUGGGAUAACUUCAGGAAACUGGGGCUAAUACCGGAUAGGAGCUCCUGCUGCAUGGUGGGGGUUGGAAAGUUUCGGCGGUUGGGGAUGGACUCGCGGCUUAUCAGCUUGUUGGUGGGGUAGUUGCUUACCAAGGCUGUGACGGGUAGCCGGCCUGAGAGGGUGACCGGCCACAUUGGGACUGAGAUACGGAGCAGACGCCUACGGGAGGCAGCAGUGGGGAAUAUUGCACAAUGGGCGGAAGCCUGAUGCAGCAACGCCGCGUGCGGGAUGACGGCCUUCGGGUUGUAAACCGCUUUCGCCUGUGACGAAGCGUGAGUGACGGUAAUGGGUAAAGAAGCACCGGCUAACUACGUG
rnacentral:rRNA from 1 species